GAAACAUCUCUCUUUCUAGCAGCGUUUGCGAAUCGAAGACACCAACCAACAACGGAUACCAAGCGAGGCAAGUUGGAAAAUCUCUCGAACAAUGGUGACACUUCAGUCAUAGCAGUAACCAGGCAGUCAUUGUGAUAGGUGCUAUUCUUGAACGGGCAUACAACAUUUGUACGUGAGUGUGGCCUGUGGAAUCUUCACUUCGUAUGUACAACACCGCACCGUAAGCAACGCCCGAUGCAUCACAAAAUCCGUGCAACUGAAUAUUGCACGCCGAACUCAAUACUGUGUGACGACGAAUUUGGAAUGCGUUGAUUAUCGUGAGCUCUGACACAAACUUCGUCCACAAUGCAGCUAAAUCCGUCGAUACAGACUCAUCCCAGUCAUAGCCAUCGAUCCAAACGCGUUGCAAUAGAUGUUUAGCAGAAGUCAACACUGGAGCUAUAAAGCCCAAGGGGUCAUACACGGUUGCAAUGCACUGUAGCAUGGAGCGUUUUGAAACAAAUUCUUCAAUAAAUUUGUCGAUAACGAUGUUG